rnacentral:lncRNA from 1 species
CAGUAUCACUCUGCUCUCUUUUCUGGUUGAAAAGAAAGAAAGAAAGAAAACGCAGGUAUUGCUUUUCGAAGUGCUUUGUAGGUAAUCGAGGUAAGAAAAUAUACGCAGGCAGCCUCUUACAAUUUUAUGCAGGGGCGCCGGGAGCCUCGUGACGGGCGGUGGGGGCCCCCACAAAGGCGCGGCUGGGAGCUGGCGCUCUUUGCCCCAGCAGGGACGAGGAGCGGCUGGAGAAGGGUGUUUCUUUGACCCGUUUACAGGCUCGAAACGCCGGUCUCAGUGGCUAUUGAGUUACCCACCAAGUUACCCCGGUUAGAGCUGUUUGGGGUGGCUCACGUUAUUGCGGCAAACUUUGGAGAUGACGGCUGAGUCCUCCGGGCGAACAUGUCAAGCCGAUUGUAAAUGCUGUUAUUUCCACAUCCUUCAGGGACACCAGUCCCUACGAAGACCUUGGGCGAUUUUGAAGUGCGGGCACCUCGAUUCCCCGAAUCUGUAGUGUGGCUGGUAUCGGUGUUCCCCUGGUUUAACUAGCCUGUUUGAAGGCACAGAUCAUUCAUGGGGAUGUAUAACCGAAACCAGUCCUCUCCACCGCCUGGGGAUCUUCACUUUCGCAGUCUACGACUGCCUGUGACUCCAGAAAGACAAACUGCAGAUUGGCCAAGAUGGGGAAAUUGAGGCAGAGAAGCCAAGACAUGUGCUAAAGGUCAUGCAGGCUAUGAAUGGAGCUGGAAUGUGAACGCAGGCCAUAUGACCCCAGAGCCCAUGUUCUUGAACCCUUAGAAAGACAGCAGCAACACACCUGGUGCAGCAGCUGCUUAGUUGGAGUGGCUGACAAGGUUGGCAGAGGAUCCCGUUCCUCCCGUGGAGUGGCUGCCAUGAUACUGCCUGCACUGAAGCUGCUCCUAUUUCUGAAAUAUGUAUUGUUAUUUUUUUCCCUGCAUGUUGAACAUUAUACUCUUCUGUUCUUUCGCAUUCUCUUCUUCCCUUCCGGAUGACUUCUAGGGUUUUUGUGAUUCUGUAAUUCUAAAGGAGAAAGGAUAAUAAGAAUUGUGAGGCCGGGCGCGGUGGCUCAUGCCUGUAAUCACAGCACUUUGGGAGGCCAAGGUGGGCGGAUCACUAGGUGAGGAGAUGGAGACCAUCCUGGCUAACACGGUGAAACCCCGUCUCUACUAAAAAUACAAAAAAUUAGCGGGGUGUGGUGGCGGGCGCCUGUAGUCCCAGCAACUCGGGAGGCUGAGGCAGGAGAAUGGCGUGAACCCGGGAAGCGGAGCUUGCAGUGAGCCGAGAUUGCGCCACUGCACUCCAGCCUGGGCGAAGAGGGAGACUCCAUCUUAAAAAAUUAAAAAAAAAAAUUACAGAAAAUUAGCUGGGCGCGGUGGCGGGCGCCUAUAGUCCCAGCUACUCGGGAGGCUGAGGCAGG